AAACGAAGAAGUUGUAGCAAGUGGCAAUUUAGUAACAGCAUAUCUGUGCUGUUUUGCUGUAUGCAAAUAACAAUAUUCGUAAAAUCGAGAGAAAAACUGAUACAGUAUCCUAAUGGAAAGAGCCAAUCUCAUCUAUUGAAACAACGCAGUUUCCGUGUUGGAAUUGUUUCCGAAAGUGCAAUGUGAUGUGGUGCCACGAACAGAGGAUGAGAUUGAAAGCACUAAACAGCCCCAUGCAGAUAGGUGGUAGUCCUCAAACUUUCUGCACUCCAGUUAGCAAGUACCAAUGGAAGUGCAACAUAUUUGUCGUGACGAUCUGUCAAAGCUAAUUUGCUGCUGCCGUUGUUGUUGGUAGUUCAUACUUGUGGAGCCGGGCCAAUUUUGCGGUGAUUGUCCGAUGAGAUACGAUUUGAAACUGUCAACCUUUAAAUUAACAAACGUCAAUUAAUACCUAUUAAUCUAGAAAUGCCAACAAAAUUAUCAAGUGCCCAUACUAGUGGAUGUCAUGGUAAUCACAUUUGUCAAUUUUGGCGUUCGCGAUGGAAAAUAGCAGUAAUUAUUAUUUGCGUGCUUGUUCCGACACGCCGGUAAUCGCGCGAUUCUCAAGAGGACCUUAUUUACAUGAAAAUGUUUCAAAUCGUUCAGACAGAACCGCGCAGGAUUAACGCUGUGUCUGGAGAAAGCGUAAUGAAUUCAUAAGGUCUUAUGAAAUCCAAAGUGGACAUGGUAAAUCUGCCAUAAUGACAACGUCGUAGAUUACAGAAAUAAAGUAUCCAUUUGGUCAUAGAAUACUAGAUGAAUUAAGAAUGAGCAAAAAUUCAUAUUUGAUGGUAGUUCAAAUGUGAAAAGGUCACACCAUGCUUUUCAUUAAAUACAAGAACUUGUUCUUAUGAUGAAAAGAUCUUUGUCAUGUGGACUCCUAAAUUGCGAUAGAUGUAAGAAUGGAGAACAAUUCAAAUUUAAUAUGUUUGUAACCUUUUAGGUAAAUUAUUAAAACAGUUAGUAUUGUAUUGUUAUCUGUUAGUUUUCUUAGUAAGUGAUUUUAGUUUUUAAUUAAAUAUGUAUUGAUAUUUACACAUAUGGAAAAUGAAAUAAAACUAUUUGUACAUC